rnacentral:rRNA from 1 species
AACGCGAAGAACCUUACCUGGGUUUGACAUUUAGGGAAAAGCCGUAGAGAUACGGUGUCCUUCGGGGUCCUAAACAGGUGGUGCAUGGCUGUCGUCAGCUCGUGUCGUGAGAUGUUGGGUUAAGUCCCGCAACGAGCGCAACCCUUAUUCUAUGUUGCCAGCGCGUAAUGGCGGGGACUCGUAGGAGACUGCCGGGGUCAACUCGGAGGAAGGUGGGGACGACGUCAAGUCAUCAUGCCCCUUAUAUCCAGGGCUGCACACAUGCUACAAUGGCUGGUACAACGGGUCGCUAAUCCGCGAGGAGGAGCUAAUCCCCAAAGCCAGUCUCAGUUCGGAUCGCAGUCUGCAACUCGACUGCGUGAAGUCGGAGUCGCUAGUAAUCCCGGAUCAGCAACGCCGGGGUGAAUACGUUCCCGGGCCUUGUACACACCGUAGUAC